UACAGAGGGUGCGAGCGUUAAUCGGAAUUACUGGGCGUAAAGCGUGCGUAGACGGUUAUUUAAGUCGGAUGUGAAAGCCCCGGGCUCAACCUGGGAAUUGCAUUCGAGACUGAAUAGCUAGGGUACGGUAGAGGGAAGCGGAAUUUCCGGUGUAGCGGUGAAAUGCGUAGAUAUCGGAAGGAACAUCAGUGGCGAAAGCGGCUUCCUGGACCAGUACCGACGUUCAGGCACGAAAGCGUGGGGAGCAAACAGGA
rnacentral:rRNA from 1 species